rnacentral:rRNA from 1 species
UACGGAGGGGGCUAGCGUUGUUCGGAAUUACUGGGCGUAAAGCGCACGUAGGCGGACUGUUAAGUCGGGGGUGAAAUCCUGGGGCUCAACCUCAGAAUUGCCUCCGAUACUGGCAGUCUCGAGUGCGGGAGAGGUGAGUGGAAUUCCCAGUGUAGAGGUGAAAUUCGUAGAUAUUGGGAAGAACACCAGUGGCGAAGGCGGCUCACUGGCCCGUAACUGACGCUGAGACGCGAAAGCGCGGGGAGCGAACGGG